rnacentral:miRNA from 2 species
UCAGCUCCAAGGCUGAUCAG